UUAAUUAUAUGUAAAUUUAUGUGAAAUUUUAAAAAAAUUUAAAAAAUUGAUUAAUUUUGUUUGCAGUAAAUAAUUUUAAAUAUUAAAGUAAUUUAGAUUUAGAAAUAAUAAUAAUAUAAACAAAAUUUGUGCCAGCAGUUGCGGUUAUACAAAUUAUAUAAUUUAAUUAUUUUAGUUAAAGUUAAUUUUUAUUUAAGAAAUUGAAUUGUAAAAUUUAUUAGGUGGAAUUUUAAAUUUUAUAAAGAUUUAAUUGUAAGAAAUGAAGCUUAAAAAUUUAUUUUUAAACUAGGAUUAGAUACCCUAUUAUUUUAAAUGUAAUUUAUUUAGUACUAAAUUAGUAUUAGUUAUGUUCUUGAAAAUUAAAAAAUUUGGCGGUAUUUUAGUCUUUUCAGAGGAAUCUGUCCUGUAAUUGAUAACCCACGAUUAAAUUUACUUUAUUUAUUAGUUUACAUAUCGUCGUAGUUUGAAUAUUUUAAGAGAAAAUUAAUAUUCAAAAUUUUAAAUUAAAAAAUAAAUCAGAUCAAGGUGUAGUUUAUAAUAAAGAAGAGAUGGAUUACAAAAAAUUUAUUUUAGGAGGGUUUAUUGAAAAUAAAUUUGAAUAUGGAUUUGAAAGUAAUUUUUAAAUAUUUUUUUGAGAUGAUUAAAGCUCUAAAAUAUGUACAUAUCGCCCGUCGCUUUCAUUAUAAGAUGAAAUAAGUCGUAACAAAGUAGGUGUACUGGAAAGUGUGCCUAGAAAGAUCAAAUUAGAGCUUGAUAAAAGUAUUUUAU
rnacentral:rRNA from 1 species